CCACAGAUCAUAUAUCAUUGGAGGAUGAUAGCAAUUUGGCCUGAUAUCUUCCUUUCGCAAAGUUCUUUGAGAUCAUGUGUUUGAAAGAUUCACCAUUGUACGCAUUUAAAUCAUCAGUUUGUUUAAUAUAUGAUUCAAUACUAAAAACAUGAAGGUUGAAAUUGGAAACUACACAUCAUUCUAUGAGUUUGACAUUUGUCUUCUCUCCUAAGAGGUAUUUACCUUGCAACUGUUACAACAUUUGCAAAAAGUAGCAGCAACAUUCACCUCUUACACUGGUAAUAAUACUUUCUAGAUUCUGAACCUAACAAAGGAGACAGGAGAUUUUUAUCGGUGUUGAAUGACAAACUUCCUCUUUCCAUUUCUACAUUCUGGUGAAAAAUCUUGUAGCUUUUAUUUUGUUCUACAAUGUUGUAGCAACGUUCCAUUGUGUUCGACUAUUUGUAUUGUACCCUUUAUAUCAACUGAGCUGAUGUUUUGCGUGUAAAUUUGAAUUACCUUAGUUAGUAUCAAUAUAGUUUGAUAAGGAUUGGAAUUUUUUA